CCUACGGGGGGCAGCAGUGGGGGAUAUUGCACAAUGGGGGAAACCCUGAUGCAGCGACGCCGCGUGUGGGAAGACGGUCCUCUGGAUUGUACACCACUGUCCCCAGGGACGAAGAUGACGGUACCUGGGGAGGCAGCUCCGGCUAACUACGUGCCAGCAGCCGCGGUACUACGUAUGGAGCAAGCGUUGUCCGGAAUUACUGGGUGUAAAGGGAGCGUAGGCGGGAUGGCAAGUUGGGUGUUAAAUCUACCGGCUCAACUGGUAGUCGCACUCAAAACUGCUAUUCUUGAGUGAAGUAGAGGCAGGCGGAAUUCCUAGUGUAGCGGUGAAAUGCGUAGAUAGUAGGAGGAACACCAGGGGCGAAGGCGGCCUGCUGGGCUUUGACUGACGCUGAGGCUCGAAAGUGUGGGGAGCAAACAGGAUUAGAUACCCCGGUAGUC
rnacentral:rRNA from 1 species